UGCAGUUUAUUUUAUGUGUAUGUGAAAUAUAUUAUAUCCCAAUACUUACAAAAAGCUUACGAAUCCAUAGUUGCAAUGCGCAUUUGAUUCUCUCUUAGCAUUAUCAUCUUCUACACAUUCAUUGCAAUCACCAGAAUCUCAUUCCUUUCGCUUCCAGCUACACCCCCAAUCCAUUACACAACCUAUUUACACAUUCUCUAUUAAAUUGUUGAUUUUUUUUUAACAAAUAAGCAUGAUUAUUGCCUUCUCCUGUCAGCUAAAAUGUAUUUAUUCAAAUCGUAGAUGCCAUUUAAAUACGUCAGAAAUUACUUACACCUAUUACAUCAAAAUUUGUUGACAAACUGUAUUUAAAAACAAGCAAACUUACAUUCCACAAGCGAUUCAACCAUCGUUGUUCCAUUCAAAAACUGUGAUGAGCUUAAUGACCGCUUGUUCAUGGAAGCCACAGAAAAUGUACAUUCUUUACGGCCUUAUAGUCCACAUAUUUUUUGUUUUAUGUUUAUAAUUUUUUGUUUAUGUCAAGUUGUACAGGAAUGAGCAGACCAUUGCGUUUCAAGAAUACCAAAUAAAAUAUUCUACAUUUUCAUGCCUACGCACCAUACGGCAAUUACUAACCAUACAAUAUUUUCAAACAAAUUCUCUUCCCAUGAUGAAUGUUUCAUUUCAUCAGUUCACAAAUUACUAACUUACUCACAUUUUCUACUUCGUCCUGCAAAUUUCCAUUUCACAACCCAACCUAACAUCAUAUGCCCAUUUCUACUACUUCAAUCCUGCCCAAUCAAUUACAAUCAAAUAAUUAUGCACAUGCACACAAAUUAAUAGCCAUACAUGAAUAUUCAUCAUCAACACAUACCUCAACGUCGCAGUAAGCCACUUGAUGAGCAGUGAUUGAUACGAAAGUCCCACUUUAUAUGCUCUGCAAAUACAUCUCUCCACACACUUUCCCACUGUAUAUGUCUACUCGGUUUACUCCU
rnacentral:lncRNA from 1 species